UACGAAGGGGGCUAGCGUUGCUCGGAAUCACUGGGCGUAAAGAGCUCGUAGGCGGUUUGUUGCGUCGGCUGUGAAAUCCCGAGGCUCAACCUCGGGUCUGCAGUCGAUACGAGCAAACUAGAGUGUUGCAGGGGAGACUGGAAUUCCUGGUGUAGCGGUGAAAUGCGCAGAUAUCAGGAGGAACACCGGUGGCGAAGGCGGGUCUCUGGGCCGAUACUGACGCUGAGGAGCGAAAGCGUGGGGAGCAAACAGG
rnacentral:rRNA from 1 species